CGUAGGGGGCAAGCGUUGUCCGGAUUUACUGGGCGUAAAGAGCGUGUAGGCGGCCGCACAGGUCCGUUGUGAAAACUGGAGGCUUAACCUCCAGACGUCGACGGAAACCGUGUGGCUAGAGUCCGGAAGAGGAGAGUGGAAUUCCUGGUGUAGCGGUGAAAUGCGCAGAUAUCAGGAAGAACACCAAUGGCGAAGGCAGCUCUCUGGGACGGUACUGACGCUGAGACGCGAAAGCGUGGGGAGCGAACAGGAUUAGAUACCCUGGUAGUCCACGCCGUAAACGAUGGGUGCUAGGUGUGGGAGGUGUCGACUCCUUCCGUGCCGUAGCUAACGCAUUAAGCACCCCGCCUGGGGAGUACGGCCGCAAGGCUA
rnacentral:rRNA from 1 species